GUGGGGAAUAUUGGGCAAUGGGCGAAAGCCUGACCCAGCAACGCCGCGUGAAGGAAGAAGGUUUUCGGAUUGUAAACUUCUGUCCUCAGGGAAGAAGGAAGUGACGGUACCUGAGGAGGAAGCCCCGGCUAACUACGUGCCAGCAGCCGCGGUAAUACGUAGGGGGCGAGCGUUGUCCGGAAUGACUGGGCGUAAAGGGCGCGUAGACGGCUGUCUAAGUCUGGAGUGAAAGUCCUGCUUUCAAGGUGGGAAUUGCUUUGGAGACUGGAUGGCUUGAGUGCGGAAGAGGUAAGUGGAAUUCCCAGUGUAGCGGUGAAAUGCGUAGAGAUUGGGAGGAACACCAGUGGCGAAGGCGACUUACUGGGCCGUAACUGACGUUGAUGCGCGAAAGCGUGGGGAGCGAACAGGAUUAGAUACCCGUGUAGUCC
rnacentral:rRNA from 1 species